GCCAGUGUGGUAUAGUGGUUUGAGUGCUAGACUAUGACUCCUGGAGACCAGGGUUCAAAUCCCCACUCAGUCA